UUUGUGCGAAGUUAGCAUAAUCAUUAGUCUUUUAAUUGGAGGCUUGUAUGAAUGGUUGGACAAAAAGUAAGCUGUCUCGAUUAUAAUAAUUGAACUUAACUUUUAAGUGAAAAGGCUUAAAUGUUUCAGGGGGACGAUAAGACCCUAUAAAGCUUGACAAUAACUUCGUUAUAUUAUAAAUUGUUAGUAUAACUUGAUUUUAACGGGGGUUUGUUUCGUUGGGGCGACGGGAAUAUAAUAAAUAACUGUUCUUUUAAAUAUAAUUACAAAAAUGUUUGGUAAAUAAUUGAUCCUCUAUUAGAGAUUAAAAGAUUAAGUUACUUUAGGGAUAACAGCGUAAUCUUCUUUGAGAGUCCACAUCGACAAGAAGGUUUGCGACCCCGAUUUGCAUUAAGGA
rnacentral:rRNA from 1 species